AAAGGAAUUGACGGGGGCCCGCACAAGCGGAGGAACAUGUGGUUUAAUUCGAUGAUACGCGAGGAACCUUACCCGGGUUUGAACGCAUUCGGACCGACUGUGAAAGCAGUCUUCUAGCAAUAGCCGUUUGCGAGGUGCUGCAUGGUUGUCGUCAGCUCGUGCCGUGAGGUGUCGGCUUAAGUGCCAUAACGAGCGCAACCCUUAUCUUUAGUUACCAGCAUGUAAUGAUGGGGACUCUAAAGAGACUGCCAGCGUAAGCUGUGAGGAAGGUGGGGAUGACGUCAAAUCAGCACGGCCCUUACAUCCGGGGCGACACACGUGUUACAAUGGGUGGGACAGAAAGCAGCUAUCGGGCGACCGUGCGCUAAUCUCCAAACCCACUCUCAGUUCGGAUCGAAGUCUGCAACUCGACUUCGUGAAGCUGGAUUCGCUAGUAAUCGCGCAUCAGCCAUGGCGCGGUGAAUACGUUCCCGGGCCUUGUACACACCGCCCGU
rnacentral:rRNA from 1 species